rnacentral:rRNA from 1 species
CAGUAGCCGCGGUAAUACGAAGGGUGCAAGCGUUACUCGGAAUUACUGGGCGUAAAGCGUGCGUAGGUGGUGGUUUAAGUCCGUUGUGAAAGCCCUGGGCUCAACCUGGGAAUUGCAGUGGAUACUGGGUCACUAGAGUGUGGUAGAGGAUAGUGGAAUUUCCGGUGUAGCAGUGAAAUGCGUAGAGAUCGGAAGGAACAUCUGUAGCGAAGGCGACUAUCUGGGCCAACACUGACACUGAGGCACGAAAGCGUGGGGAGCAAACAGGAUUAGAUACCCGCGUAGUCCCUGUCUCUUAUAC